AACAGAUUGCUGGGCUCCCCACCCCAGAGUUUCCAAUUUAGUAGAUCUGGGGUGGGGCCUGAGAAU
rnacentral:miRNA from 1 species